UAAUUUCUGUUUCUCAUAAUUUGUCCUUGGCUGCAUUAUAAUUUUUUCCUUAUUGGGACUAUAAUCAAAGUUUGCCUUAAAAAAAAAAUGUGUAUGCAAUUAAAUUGCACAGCAAGUAAUCAUGUCAAAUUCCACAUCAUGGCUUUGAAAGGGGGAGAAAUGCCUUGAGUUUUUUCCAUUGCAUAAUGUCAAGGAAUCUGCCAGGAGCAAAGUAGGGGAGUGCCCGCAGUGAGACCAGAGGAGAGGGCACCGCAAGAGCAAACUACUGAUCCAUGACGCUUUACAGUGGAGGAACAGCAGCUCAUCCUGGCCAGCAAGAAUUCAUCCUCACAAUCCAUGAACUCAGUGUAAAGAGAAUCAUUCUUAAAAUGUGUAUUUGUUUAAUUUCCUUCAAAUAAAUGGAUCACUAAAAUUAUUUCUGCUCACAAUAUUGUAAAUAGUAUUGUUUGACAUUGUUUAUUAUUUUCAGAUGAUUACUGUUGUUGUUAUCAGUUAUAAUGGAACUAUAGUGUUUUACUACCGGUAGUAGCUUUGUUCAUCCCUGUAUACAGUUCUGCUUGU